rnacentral:sRNA from 1 species
AAAGGUGAAUACUCCAACUACCACAGUCUAUAGAUGUGGCCCUUUGAUAGAUCUCUGCCGGGGUCCUCAUGUUAGACACACGGGCAAAAUUAAGGCUUUAAAAAUACACAAAAAUUCCUCCACGUACUGGGAAGGCAAAGCAGAUAUGGAGACUCUCCAGAGAAUUUAUGGCAUUUCAUUCCCAGAUCCUAAAAUGUUGAAAGAGUGGGAGAAGUUCCAAGAGGAAGCUAAAAACCGAGAUCAUAGGAAAAUUGGCAGGGACCAAGAACUAUAUUUCUUUCAUGAACUCAGCCCUGGAAGUUGCUUUUUUCUGCCAAAAGGAGCCUACAUUUAUAAUGCACUUAUUGAAUUCAUUAGGAGCGAAUAUAGGAAAAGAGGAUUCCAGGAGGUAGUCACCCCAAACAUCUUCAACAGCCGACUCUGGAUGACCUCGGGCCACUGGCAGCACUACAGCGAGAACAUGUUCUCCUUUGAGGUGGAGAAGGAGCUGUUUGCCCUGAAACCCAUGAACUGCCCAGGACACUGGUAUUCGGCAGCUUUGAAUUUCUACUGAAGAUUUUCACAUGCUACAAUUCAUCCUGGGUUCUUCCCUCCUUUAACGACAUUUUCAUUAAAAACAAAUUAUGUGAUCAG